GUUACUUAUGUUGUCCACGAACAUUGUGAAUGUGUUGAUUGAUAGAUUAAUUAAGAUGAAGAAAGGAACAAAAAGUUUGACGGUCCAGGAUAUUUUCAAGAAGAGGAGAGGGUGUGGAUGAUAUUUUUGUUGAACGGGUCUGAAAGAUGUGUCAAAAGAUUGUCGAUUGGUCCAACAUGAGUCACAGAUGCUUGCACAAUAAACCCAAGCAUAGCAACCAUAGCCAACCUCCCAUUCUUGAUUUCUUUCAGUUUCGCUUCAUCUGCAUUCUCUAUAUCCUUGGCCAGUCCUAG
rnacentral:misc_RNA from 1 species